ACCGAUUCCAUUAAAAAGGGUAGACUUCCCCUCCAAACAAUUCGUGCUAAAAUUGAUAAUUGCUGCUAUCCAAUUCUGACUAUCUAUGGAGUAUUAUGUGUAAAAAUUUGGAUAUUUGUAGACGAAGAAUAA
rnacentral:rRNA from 1 species